AUUGAACGCUGGCGGCAUGCCUUACACAUGCAAGUCGAACGGUAACAGGUCUUCGGAUGCUGACGAGUGGCGAACGGGUGAGUAAUACAUCGGAACGUGCCCGAUCGUGGGGGAUAACGGAGCGAAAGCUUUGCUAAUACCGCAUACGAUCUACGGAUGAAAGCAGGGGACCGCAAGGCCUUGCGCGGACGGAGCGGCCGAUGGCAGAUUAGGUAGUUGGUGGGAUAAAAGCUUACCAAGCCGACGAUCUGUAGCUGGUCUGAGAGGACGACCAGCCACACUGGGACUGAGACACGGCCCAGACUCCUACGGGAGGCAGCAGUGGGGAAUUUUGGACAAUGGGCGAAAGCCUGAUCCAGCCAUGCCGCGUGCAGGAUGAAGGCCUUCGGGUUGUAAACUGCUUUUGUACGGAACGAAAAGACCCUUUCUAAUAAAGAGGGUCCAUGACGGUACCGUAAGAAUAAGCACCGGCUAACUACGUG
rnacentral:rRNA from 1 species